GUGAUGUUUAAAUGCUUUUUUUUAUAGUUUUAUUAUGCUCUUAUUUUGGGUAUGUAAUAUGUAAUACUUGAAAGACAAAUGCGUUUUUAUGUUUUACAUGUGAUAAUAUGGUAUGUAUAUACUUAUUUAGUAUUAUAUUUUUCAAUUGAUUAUUUAUUGGUUUAAAAUAUAUUUUCCUUAACGGGUAACUGUUGGAAAUGUGCCCUAAAACCAAUCAUAUGAUGAUACUUUACGGACAUUUCACAUGUUAAACUAAUCUAGUUUAAUAUCAAGGGAAAAUAUUAUUAUUUUAAGCCGUCUCAUAUUUAUGUUAUAUGCUUAAACGAUAACUCCAAGGAGUUUGUAAUUAGGAGAAUGUAAUUUAAACAAGUCAGAUUCAUGAGACCAUUCUCUUUCGUAUACAUAUCCUAAAUGUUCCUGAUCAUUGGAUUGCCAAUUGGGCAUUGACAGUCUGUUAAGAUUAGUACGUGCUGUUGGAAAUGUGCCCUAAAACCAAUCAUAUGAUGAUACUUUAUGGACAUUUCACAUGUUAAACUAAUCUAGUUUAACUAUAAAGGGCAAACAUUAUUGUUUAAGCCGUCUCAUAUAAAUGUUAUAUGCUUAAACGAUAAAGUCCAAGGAAUAUGUG
rnacentral:lncRNA from 1 species